GACGAACGCUGGCGGCGUGCCUAAUACAUGCAAGUAGAACGCUGAAGAGAGGAGCUUGCUCUUCUUGGAUGAGUUGCGAACGGGUGAGUAACGCGUAGGUAACCUGCCUGGUAGCGGGGGAUAACUAUUUGAAACGAUAGCUAAUACCGCAUAAAAUUGAUUAUCGCAUGAUAAUCCAUUGAAAGGUGCAAAUGCAUCACUACCAGAUGGACCUGCGUUGUAUUAGCUAGUUGGUGGGGUAACGGCUCACCAAGGCGACGAAACAUAGCCGACCUGAGAGGGUGGUCGGGCACACUGGGACUUAGAAACCGCCCAGACUCCUACGGGGGGCAGCAGGAGGGAAAUUUCGGCAAUGGACGGAAGUCUGACCGAGCAAAGCCGCGUGAGUGAAGAAGGGUUUCGGAUCGUAAAGCUCUAUUGUAAGGGAAGAACGAGUGUGAGAGUGGAAAGUUCACACUGUGACGGUAUCUUACCAGAAAGGGACGGCUAACUACGUG
rnacentral:rRNA from 1 species